CAUAGUGGCUUAGUGAUCUGCACUACUGCUUCACAGUGAGAAGGUCAUGGGAUCAAUUUCCACCUGUGUUCUGUAUGGAGAUU